CAUGACCUAGCAAUAGGUUGAUGGCGACCGGCGCACGGGUGAGUAACACGUAUCCAACCUACCGGUUAUUCCGGGAUAGCCUUUCGAAAGAAAGAUUAAUACCGGGUAGUAUAACGAGAAGGCAUCUUCUUGUUAUUAAAGAAUUUCGAUAACCGAUGGGGAUGCGUUCCAUUAGUUUGUUGGCGGGGUAACGGCCCACCAAGACAUCGAUGGAUAGGGGUUCUGAGAGGAAGGUCCCCCACAUUGGAACUGAGACACGGUCCAAACUCCUACGGGAGGCAGCAGUGAGGAAUAUUGGUCAAUGGACGAGAGCCUGAACCAGCCAAGUAGCGUGAAGGAUGACUGCCCUAUGGGUUGUAAACUUCUUUUAUAUGGGAAUAAAGUGAGCCACGUGUGGCUUUUUGUAUGUACCAUACGAAUAAGGAUCGGCUAACUCCGUGCCAGCAGCCGCGGUAAUACGGAGGAUCCGAGCGUUAUCCGGAUUUAUUGGGUUUAAAGGGAGCGUAGGCGGACUAUUAAGUCAGCUGUGAAAGUUUGCGGCUCAACCGUAAAAUUGCAGUUGAUACUGGUCGUCUUGAGUGCAGUAGAGGUAGGCGGAAUUCGUGGUGUAGCGGUGAAAUGCUUAGAUAUCACGAAGAACUCCGAUUGCGAAGGCAGCUU
rnacentral:rRNA from 1 species